rnacentral:snRNA from 1 species
GGGUAUGCAGACAAUGUAGCUAUAACAUCUGUCAUGUCAUUAAUCAGGGUAUUGACUUAGCUGAUCUGGCUGGCUACAUAGUGCCCCUCUCCUCCCUCCUGUUAACUCUGUAUGUAUCCCUCCCAAAGCAAUGCUCUUGAUAGAAAAAGACAACCUUCCCCAAUUGAGAAAGACCAUCUUUAAAUAAAGGGCAAACAAACGAGCCACAUUGUGCUCUCAAAAUAGAACCUGCAAACAAAUUGCCAAGAGUUUCACUUAUAUUGAACUAGGUCUCACCCUGGCAGCCUCAUUUCCAAGUACAGUCAUGUUCUGAAGUUAGAGGAUAU